GGCAUAUAAAUGAUCUUAACCAAACAAACAACAUUUUAUGUGACAUCUGUUGUUUUAUUUUCUUAGUUUUUAUUAUUAUUUAAUUUUAUCAUUUAUAAUCAAUUAGUAAUUUAUUUAAUUGUCAUUUGAUUUAUCAUUUAACAAUUUAUUAAUAGGCUAUUAUUAUUUGAUUUAUAUAAUUUAUCAUUAAUACAUCGUUUUUAAUUUUUUUUUUUUACAUUACUUAUAGCCUAUUAUUUAAUUUCUAUUGUUGUUUACUCUUAUAUUGUGUGGUUUCAAGGGAUGUUUGUCUAUGAGUUAGAGAUAAGAGAAUGGCUCCAUUUUCAGGGUUUUAACGUCACAGGACAUUUUUUCCAUGGUUUUUGCUGUGUUAUAAUAACACUUGUUGGAUUUAUAGUGGUCAGACAAAGUCUGAGCAUGAGCAUUGAGACGUUCAGACGAAGUCUGAGAAUUGAAACAUAUGCAACUAAGAUUAUUUAAUAAACUCUGCUCUUUUUAUUAUCAUAACGUCGUCUCCUGCUUCUGCUCUUCCCAAGCAGCAAUUUCACGUUGCAGUUGAAUUGAGUUCGGUUGAACAGCGCCCUCUCCUGGCUUUGGGAAGUAUUGGCCACGUUUAUUGCUCUUUACAUGAUGUUGCAUAAAUACAAAUAAUUAUGGACCAUAUAGUUUUACCAGUGAAAAUAGAAAAAUUAAUGUUGUGUCCAUUAAUGGAAAAAUUCAGAAGCCUGUUUUUAAAAGGCUGAGUUGCAAGCCAACAAGCUUAUUAAUAAAAUCAAACAAUAGCAUUGUCUAUGGGUACGUUUCUAUAUAGGCCUAUGCUUAAAACGGAGUUUUUUCCUUUGAGUUUUCUGCGUACAGACGACACCAUUGUCAAAACGAUCCCCAUUCACACGGAUCCGCGAAAACGACUAAAAACGCUGUAUUCUGCUGCCAGGCCAUUAGAUAGCGAUGAAACACCAUAGACCGAACAUGUAAUAGCAAGAGACUAUAGAAUAACACAAGACGCGAAAAAUACCGUUUUUUGACAAGAUUCGAGCGUUUAGAAACAAAAUUUAUGAGACAGCUGUUGUUAGAUUUCAUUGGUGAUUUCAAAUAUUAAAUUUAAUCAAAAGCUUGGCAAACAGCUUUGGAGAAUUUGAUGUUUCCCCAUUCAAAGACAUAGGAGCUGCACUUGAAUGGAGUAGCAUCUGCCUGCACAACCGGAGGCUGCAUUUUCAGGACCGCAUUUCUAGGACCCUAGAUGUUUAGUGACAACGCCACCUACCGAAUUACAGGACCAGUGACCGCAUAUUUUUCUGGAAGUUGGACGAUAUUCAGAAAACACAUAACAAUCCAAGAAAGGAGAUCCUUUCCUAAAGAGAUGCACCACAUGCUGCAAGGAGUUCCUCUGCCCGUUUUGCAGUUCUGCUUUGUUUCACCCAACAAAGUUGAUCAAAGUGAAAUCCCAUUUGGAGAGCCAUUUCAAAUGCAGUUCUCUAUGAAGACCAUCAUAUAUGGCCUGGCUGGGCUGCAGAAUUUCUCUGCGGGAUGUUGAGUAGGCCUUCUUCUCUAGUCCGGAAUAUCAUCACAGUGAAGUGGAAGAAAAGAGAAAAGAGGGGAGAACAUCCAUUGGUAGGUAGUGCUGCUGCAUACUUCACAAUCUGUGCUUUAAAUAUUUAAAGGUCAGGAAAAGUCAUGUCAAUAACAUGUUAUUUCUAUUCAGAUUUCUUGCAUCUCCCUCUAUUAAUUUUUUUUUCUCAGUUCAGAUGGGCUUUAUUGACAUGAAAGUUUCAAGAACCUUUGUUCCCACAGCAUCAAAAUAAUUUUUUUCCAAAUCUUUGAACAGUAUGUAAUAACAGUAAUAUGAACAUUAAUUGGUAUGAAGAUUGAUAUAAUUAUUUUUGUAUCGUAUAUAAUGUGUGUGCUCUGUGGUGACUAAGAUCUUUUAAAUAUGACAUUUAAAAUUAGAGAGUUGAACAUGUUUAACUAAAUGUUCCUUAUUUCAUUCACUUCUCUCUCUUUCUUUCUUUCUCUCUCUCUCUCUCUUAGGAGUUAGUGAAGACAUUGUCGCUGAAGUUCUUUCUGU